GAACAAUCCUAGUAAGCUCUCACAAUUCACUAGUGACACCUAGCAGUAUGUAGUGGCAACUCAAUAGAACUAAAAUGAACCUCUAGGUGUAGUUAACAUAUGAUUCAGUCUCUUUCUCGUGAGUCCCGACUAGAUGGUAGGUUAUAGAUAAAUUAUCAAAUCUCAAUAUCAGUCAUAUAAUAUAUUCUAUUAGCUCAAAUCCAGUUGUGACUACUAUAAAAACUUUUUUCCAUCAAGCACACUACUGUGGCCAUAGAUUCUCAGACUUAACC
rnacentral:lncRNA from 1 species